GACGAACGCUGGCGGCGUGCCUAAUACAUGCAAGUCGAGCGAACAGACGAGGAGCUUGUUCCUCUGACGUGAGGGGCGGACGGGUGAGUAGCACGUGGAUAACCCCCCUAUAAGACUGGGAUAACUUCGGGAAGCCGGAGCAAAUACCGGAUAAUAUAUUGAACCGUAUGGUUUAUUAGUGAAGGACAGUUUUGCUGUCACUUGUUGAUGGUUCCGCGCCGCAUUAGCUAGUUGGUAAGGUAACGGCUUACCAAGGCGACGAUGCGUAGCCGACCUGAGAGGGUGAUCGGCCACACUGGAACUGAGACACGGUCCAGACUCCUACGGGAGGCAGCAGUAGGGAAUCUUCCGCAAUGGGCGGAAGCCUGACGGAGCAACGCCGCGUGAGUGAUGAAGGUUUUCGGAUCGUAAAACUCUGUUAUAAGGGAAGAACAAGUGUGUAAGUGAAUAUGCACGUCUUGACGGUACCUAAACAGGAAGCCACGGCUAACUACGUG
rnacentral:rRNA from 1 species